GACCAGGGUGAUGUAGGCUGAGGUAGUGGACCAGGGUGAUGUAGGCUGAGGUAGUGGACCAGGGUGAUGUAGGCUGAGGUAGUGGACCAGAGUGAUGUAGGCUGAG